GGGCAGGAGAAGAGUCCGGAAAUGGAAAUGGGGGGAAGAGAAGGGGGUUGUGAGGACCAUGUUGCGAGGGAAUAGGGAAGGGGAGUGAAUCAUUUCCCCUACCACGAUCUUGCGAAGCUUUACCCGGCGCAACAGUGCCUUCCACCUUUACAAAUCCUAUGUAAUUUCACAGGCGCUGCCCCUCAUGCUAUGGGUCAGUUAGUCCUGGUUUCGCCCUUCUUUGGGCUCUGGCUACCCCGGUUUAAAAUCACCUUUAGGAUAGCCAGUUCCUCCCGCCUCCAAGUCUCCUCUGAUUCAUGGGGCUCUGCGGGAACUGUCCUCCAACACUCUGCUGAUGAACUUGAAUCUCAGAGGCUACCCAGUUUGAGGGCCCAGGGCGGACAGAACUGGUGUCUGCCCAAUUCUCAUCUCUCACCAGAUAAGGCAACCAUGCUGAGUAGAACCCAGUCAUCUAUGUGGUAAAAGCCCUUGAGAGUAAGUGUGGCACACUUGUGGCAAGCCUGGAAAGCCUGGAUGAACUGAAAGGCUUCAUUAGUGUCUUCACCUUCCCUAGGCUGAAAAGCAUCCUUUCCCUCUUCAGAAGAUCCCAAAUGUCUUGCGAUCAACCCAGAACUGAAGG
rnacentral:lncRNA from 1 species